rnacentral:rRNA from 1 species
CCUACGGGAGGCAGCAGUGGGGAAUUUUGGACAAUGGGGGCAACCCUGAUCCAGCAAUGCCGCGUGUGUGAAGAAGGCCUUCGGGUUGUAAAGCACUUUUGUCCGGAAAGAAAUGGCUCUGGUUAAUACCCGGGGUCGAUGACGGUACCGGAAGAAUAAGCACCGGCUAACUACGUGCCAGCAGCCGCGGUAAUACGUAGGGUGCGAGCGUUAAUCGGAAUUACUGGGCGUAAAGCGUGCGCAGGCGGUUUUGUAAGACAGGCGUGAAAUCCCCGAGCUCAACUUGGGAAUGGCGCUUGUGACUGCAAGGCUAGAGUAUGUCAGAGGGGGGUAGAAUUCCACGUGUAGCAGUGAAAUGCGUAGAGAUGUGGAGGAAUACCGAUGGCGAAGGCAGCCCCCUGGGACGUCACUGACGCUCAUGCACGAAAGCGUGGGGAGCAAACAGGAUUAGAUACCCUGGUAGUCCACGCCCUAAACGAUGUCAACUAGUUGUUGGGGAUUCAUUUCUUCAGUAACGUAGCUAACGCGUGAAGUUGACCGCCUGGGGAGUACGGUCGCAAGAUUAAAACUCAAAGGAAUUGACGG